ensembl:lncRNA
AUGGAGAGGAGUUGGGGAUCAUUGGUGUCAAGGAGGCUUGUGGACUCUUGCUCAUCUACCAAACAAAGAUGUUUGAUGAAAUGUUCCCUUCUGCUAUGGGGUGAUUCCAGCAGGAAGAGGCAGACUCCUAAGCAGCAUAGUCUCACUCAGAGCUGUCACUUGUGGCUGAGCCAUCACAGAACACUGUUUGACUUCUCCCGGCCUUUUGAAAUCUUACUGUCUGCAAGGAGUCUUACAAUACAAGGCUUCCUUACUCUGUGGCUGAACUCAGCACCCAAUCUAUGUAGCCCAGCUAUCAGCUUCUCAGGGUCCUAAUGAGAAACAAACGAGGAAAUCAAACACUCGAGCGUUGACCAAACAGACCAGAAUCUGGAAUUACUCUGAAUCUUUACAAGUGUUUAGAACCACUUCACUGGUGAUGUGAAUUUGUCAUCCUGUAUCAAACGUCUGGGGACACUGUCGGCCAGUAAAGCUCCACUCAGAUCUCAGAGAAGAAAGGAAAGGUCAAUCUUUCAAGGAAAAUUUAGGAACAUAUUUAGAAACAAGGAAUAGUUCCACACUAGGAAAUACAUAGAUGUAUUACUCAUACAAAAAGUAAAUUUAAAUCCCCUACUACAUACUUGUAAGUUUAUACAUGCUGAUCAUCAACCAGCAUCUUUCGCGAGUCUCUUCUAUUGAACUCACUACAAAUAAAUAAGCUGAAGGGCAACUUCUGAAAGACUGUGAACAUGUGUGUUUUUCUAUAUAGUUGACUGGGUAGGUUUUUACCUAGCUCUACACAGUAUUUAACACCAGAUUAUAGAUUAGCUUCUCAGAGGAAAUAACUGUACACAUUUAUUAUAUAUAAUACAAUAGUCAUUCACAGAAGACCCCCAUUGUACCUGACAACAAUGAACCCAGUCCCUGGAAUCAAGAAACUAUACAUCAGAAACAACUCAAAUGGCCUUCAACAACUGUUAAAAAGAUGAACCCUCUAUGGUACAUUCAUGCAAUGAAAUACUACUCAGCAAUGAGAAAGAACAAACUGUUGAUACACCCAACAAUACAGAUGAAGAUCAAAUUCAUUAUGCUAGUAAAAAGAAGCCAGACAGAAGAAAGCUGCAUACGGUAUAAUUCCAUUUAUAUGACAUUCUCUAAAAGGCAAAACUACAGGAACUGGAAAUAGAUCAGCAGUUUCCAGGAUUUCAGGAUAUUGAGAGGCACUGACUACAAAGGGCACCACAUAGAAGUUUUGGGGGGAGAUGGAACUCUUCUGUUUCCUGCUUGUGGUCAUGAUUACAUUACUCUACACAUUGGUAAAACUCAAAGAAUUGAUAGCCCUGAAAAAGUGAAUUUUACUGUAUUUAAACUAAAAAUUAAAAGCAUAAAAGCUUCAUAUAAUUUAUUUCUUAUCCUCUUGUAUUCAAGAAGAAGAAUUGUCUUUCAAAUAUUCCUAUUAAACUCCUGCUCAUCCCUUUGAAGAACUUACCCAUAUGAUAAAGCCUCCUUCUCUUCCAGGAGUAGCCUCCAUGCUAGAGUUGGCACGCAUUCUUCCCCAGCAAGCUCUAAUUCUUUCAUUACAUAGUUAUGUACCAACAAAUUUCAUCAUGGGGAGGAUAAUUGCAUGUUAAUCAAUAUUAAUAUUACAUUAAUAUCACAUGUAUUCUUUUACAAUUUGCUUUUUUCGUUCAAUAUUGCUUUUAAGAUAGUCCAUUCAGAAAGAGUAUUUCAGUGUAGGAAUAUGCCAAUACAUUAAUUCACUGCACUCUUGACAGAUAUUUAACACUCCAUGUUACACUGCGCCACAUUUAUCUGUUAUUAUAUCUCUUCUUCUUGCAAAGAAAUGAGCAACUCCAGAACAGAAAGCACCCAGCAUUCCUCUUCCUUUCCCUAAUUUCUGGUACAGCUGCAAAGCACUGCCUGCCUAAUGUAUUUUGCACGGAAAAAGAUGCUGUGUACCUGGCACACAAUAAGUACCACUCCAUAAAAAUGUAUUGAAAGAAUAAAAGCUGACAAAAUGUUAUUUUAACUCUUGUGCUCUCUACUCACUUCUCCACUGUGUAAGAUUUAAGGGGGAACUGACUCAAUUCUCACCAAAAAUCCCUUAGUAUUCCAGUGUGGACGUAGAGAUCUAUGAAACAAGGUCACUUCACAAUUCUCUUGCACAGAGGAUCUCAAAGCACUACACAAACCGUGAUUUUCUCCAGUGAUUUUUUCCUCUCAAUGUGCCUCAAGGUCAGUUCAGAGCAGUAUUCAAAGCUUGAAUACUCUUCAGCAGCUGUAAAGGGCCGGGAAAUCAGAGUCUGGAUGUAAAUAGCAGUAACAAACUAUUCUCAGGUCUUUUUUUUUUUUUUUUCCUGGAGGAAUUUUUUUCUUAUCUUUUCUUUUCACGGGUCCCCGUUUGCGCUCUUAGUGGCUUACCGGUCCUGUUUCAGGAGCAGGUCUUGGGCCACCACUCCGCCCCGCCCCCGUCUCCACUCCUCACUCUCUCUCCCGGCUCCUAUUAAUCAGAUCUAACGCUGGGUGAUCUCCUCUCCAGGUGUUCGUGGUUUCAUUGUAGCCUUGAUGUACAAGACAAAUGCACACUGUACUCUGGGCUUACAAAACCAUCUAUCAUCAUCGUCUGGACAUGACCAAUACAUAGUAUGUUUCAGAGAAAUUAAUCUGGUGUUUAGGGGGAGAAAGGCAUUUUCAACUCAGUCUCCAUGCAGAACCUUCCCGCAAACCCUGCAGCGGCAUUUUUCGACACUUUUCUCCUCUGUUUGGCAAGCCUGAAACUUGACCUUCGAGAGAAUUUUUAAGGGUACAGCCUUCCUCCCUUUCCCUCGUCUGCUCCAAGAGUGCUCGCAGGCCUUCUUCUGGGAAGCAGCUGCUCUGGACCAGAGCUGGGAGAACCGCACCUCCAGGAGCGCGGGCGCGGUCGGGGAAGGGGGAGGCGGCGGCUGCGUUGCGGGGAAGGGAGGAGGCUGCAGGAGGGGGCAGGAGGUGGACGGAGGAGGAGGAUCGGUCUGCAUAUGCAUAAGGCACCCAGCACUGCCCUCUUCCCCGGCAGCUGCUCGGGCGGGGGCGAGGGAAGGAAGGGGAGGUGAUGGGAGGAAAUGAGGCUGGGGCUGGGCGGCCAGGACAGCCGCUGAGGCGGACGCGGGUUUGGAGAACGGAAGAGGUGAUUUGCAUGGCGCCUGGUGAUUGGCUGCAGGCUGGGGGCUGGGCCUGAGAGGCGGCCCCUGAAUGGUUUAACGGAGGAAAUUACAAGAUUCAUUCGACUAAAGAAAGCCGGGGCGGGCCUGGUCGGCGCGAUAUGCAGCCUGUCCGCAAGGGGGCGAGAUGGCC